GUAAUGAUAGUUCAACAAACAAACACGAACGUCGGUCUUGUAAUCCGAAAGUUGGAGGUUAAAAUCCUCCUCGCUACU
rnacentral:tRNA from 1 species